rnacentral:rRNA from 1 species
AGUUUGAUCCUGGCUCAGAUUGAACGCUGGCGGCAGGCUUAACACAUGCAAGUCGAGCGGGGAAAGGUAGCUUGCUACCUGACCUAGCGGCGGACGGGUGAGUAAUGCUUAGGAAUCUGCCUAUUAGUGGGGGACAACAUUCCGAAAGGAAUGCUAAUACCGCAUACGCCCUACGGGGGAAAGCAGGGGAUCUUCGGACCUUGCGCUAAUAGAUGAGCCUAAGUCAGAUUAGCUAGUUGGUGGGGUAAAGGCCUACCAAGGCGACGAUCUGUAGCGGGUCUGGGAGGAUGAUCCGCCACACUGGGACUGAGACACGGCCCAGACUCCUACGGGAGGCAGCAGUGGGGAAUAUUGGACAAUGGGCGAAAGCCUGAUCCAGCCAUGCCGCGUGUGUGAAGAAGGCCUUUUGGUUGUAAAGCACUUUAAGCGAGGAGGAGGCUACUUGGAUUAAUACUCUAGGAUAGUGGACGUUACUCGCAGAAUAAGCACCGGCUAACUCUGUGCCAGCAGCCGCGGUAAUACAGAGGGUGCGAGCGUUAAUCGGAUUUACUGGGCGUAAAGCGUGCGUAGGCGGCUUUUUAAGUCGGAUGUGAAAUCCCUGAGCUUAACUUAGGAAUUGCAUUCGAUACUGGGAAGCUAGAGUAUGGGAGAGGAUGGUAGAAUUCCAGGUGUAGCGGUGAAAUGCGUAGAGAUCUGGAGGAAUACCGAUGGCGAAGGCAGCCAUCUGGCCUAAUACUGACGCUGAGGUACGAAAGCAUGGGGAGCAAACAGGAUUAGAUACCCUGGUAGUCCAAUCCCG